GUUCUCCUUCCUCCGUCCAACAAAGGAUGUCUCAACUUUGACUAAAUUUGAAUGCAUCUAUACACUAAGUCAUGUCUAGAUACAUCCAAAUUUGGACAAACUUGAGACAUCUUUUGUUGGACGGAGGGGGUAUAAA
rfam:Brachypodium distachyon strain Bd21 chromosome 2, whole genome shotgun sequence.